AUUGAACGCUGGCGGCAGGCCUAACACAUGCAAGUCGAACGGUAACAGGAAGAAGCUUGCUUCUUUGCUGACGAGUGGCGGACGGGUGAGUAAUGUCUGGGAAACUGCCUGAUGGAGGGGGAUAACUACUGGAAACGGUAGCUAAUACCGCAUAACGUCGCAAGACCAAAGAGGGGGACCUUCGGGCCUCUUGCCAUCGGAUGUGCCCAGAUGGGAUUAGCUAGUAGGUGGGGUAACGGCUCACCUAGGCGACGAUCCCUAGCUGGUCUGAGAGGAUAACCAGCCACACUGGAACUGAGACACGGUCCAGACUCCUACGGGAGGCAGCAGUGGGGAAUAUUGCACAAUGGGCGCAAGCCUGAUGCAGCCAUGCCGCGUGUAUGAAGAAGGCCUUCGGGUUGUAAAGUACUUUCAGCGGGGAGGAAGGGGGUAAAGUUAAUACCUUUGCUCAUUGACGUUACCCGCAGAAGAAGCACCGGCUAACUCCGUG
rnacentral:rRNA from 1 species